rnacentral:rRNA from 1 species
UAAGCCUGUGAAGGUGGCCUGUGAGGGUUGCUGGAGGUAUCAGAAGUGCGAAUGCUGACAUAAGUAACGAUAAAGCGGGUGAAAAGCCCGCUCGCCGGAAGACCAAGGGUUCCUGUCCAACGUUAAUCGGGGCAGGGUGAGUCGACCCCUAAGGCGAGGCCGAAAGGCGUAGUCGAUGGGAAACGGGUUAAUAUUCCCGUACUUGGUGUUACUGCGAAGGGGGGACGGAGAAGGCUAUGUUGGCCGGGCGACGGUUGUCCCGGUUUAAGCGUGUAGGUGUGUGUUCCAGGUAAAUCCGGUUCACUUUAACACUGAGGCGUGACGACGAGGCACUACGGUGCUGAAGCAACAAAUGCCCUGCUUCCAGGAAAAGCCUCUAAGCAUCAGGUAACAUCAAAUCGUACCCCAAACCGACACAGGUGGUCAGGUAGAGAAUACCAAGGCGCUUGAGAGAACUCGGGUGAAGGAACUAGGCAAAAUGGUGCCGUAACUUCGGGAGAAGGCACGCUGACACGUAGGUGAAGUGAUUUACUCAUGGAGCUGAAGUCAGUCGAAGAUACCAGCUGGCUGCAACUGUUUAUUAAAAACACAGCACUGUGCAAACACGAAAGUGGACGUAUACGGUGUGACGCCUGCCCGGUGCCGGAAGGUUAAUUGAUGGGGUCAGCGCAAGCGAAGCUCCUGAUCGAAGCCCCGGUAAACGGCGGCCGUAACUAUAACGGUCCUAAGGUAGCGAAAUUCCUUGUCGGGUAAGUUCCGACCUGCACGAAUGGCGUAAUGAUGGCCAGGCUGUCUCCACCCGAGACUCAGUGAAAUUGAACUCGCUGUGAAGAUGCAGUGUACCCGCGGCAAGACGGAAAGACCCCGUGAACCUUUACUAUAGCUUGACACUGAACAUUGAGCCUUGAUGUGUAGGAUAGGUGGGAGGCUUU